ACCUGGCUGGUUCAGUCUGAAGAGCGUGUGACUCUUGAUCUUGGGGUCAUGGGCUUGAGCCCCAUGCUAGGUG
rnacentral:tRNA from 1 species